CAAGUACUGAGGAAGAGGUUGGAUAGAGAAAGUAGUAGCAGUGUUGUAGCUGUUCUGCUUUUUUUCUAUAGUGCCCUAGAGUUUCGGUUUCUUCUAGGAGGCAGUAUAACAUAGUACCUAAGGGGACAAGCUUUAGAUUUUAAAAAGACCUACGUUUGAAUUCUGGCUGUAUCACUUACUAGCAAUAUAACUUUAGGGCAAGUUCUUUCACUUCUCACUUCUCUUAGUUUGUUUCUUUAUCUACAAACUAGGGAUGAUGGUAUUAACCCCUCAUAGUUCUUAAGAUUAAAUAGGAAGGGAAAUGUGUAAAGCACUAAGCAUUGCUUGGCACGUACCAAACAUGCAAAUGUUACCUCUGAAUUGCUACCUGGGGGUGGGGGACAAUGGUAGUAGUAACGGAAAGAUAAUAAGAAACCUUGGCCCUGAGUCUGUUUCUUAAGCAAAUCUAUUUGCUUAUAUUUAUAUUUAUGCUCUCUAGGACAGACAUGGUGGUUCUGAUUGCCUGGGAGAUAGCCCAAAUGCCUACAGCCUCUCUGGCAGAACCCCUAGCUUUCCCCAGCAACCUACUUCCCCUGUUCUGUCACCACGUGGACAAACAAUUGGUUCAGCAGCUGGAGGCCAGGAUGGAGUUUGCCUGGAUUUACUGAUCUGUUUGUUCUGGAAUACGUGUAUGUGGGAAGUUGAAUCAUCAGACACUAGCUACAUAGACUAUGUUUACAGGGAUCCAGAGAGUCUGAAGACAUUUCUUAUGCCUUUAUAUAUUGGAGAACCCUUCCCCAUUUUCAUAUCCUUUCUUCAAAAAUCUAAAUGAUGUGCCUAAAAAUAAGACAUGGCAUAAUAAGGUAUAAUUAAAGAGAUAAUAGAAUG
rnacentral:lncRNA from 1 species